rnacentral:lncRNA from 1 species
AGUCAGUGUACAUAUUGUAAAUAAACAAAUUGAAAAUAUAUUCUUGUUUUUAGGGAUAAAUGUUCUCAAGAUGCUGCCUUACAAUAGAAGACCGGAUACUGAAAACAUGUGGGCACGGGGUGGAAAAAGGUCGUACUUGUAUGUACAAAGAGAAGAGCACAGGGCACAGUUUCAAUAUUCUUCACUCCUUUCGUGAGCUUCACUAAACAGAAAGACAGUACACAGAAGAGGGGACAUAAAUGUCCAAAUACUAAACAGGCACAUGGAUAUGAGGAGAGACCUCAGUUCCAUGUGAUUCGGGAUGAUUACUGGAGGAGAGGUUGAAAAGCCCUGCAAGCAAGAUACACAGCAGAAUUCCUCAUUUCUUUAUCCUGGCAGAACUUGGUGAAAAUUUACAGUCAGAUUUUCAUUAGAUAUUUAGCUCUCUGUUCUGGACACACAGACCUGAAGCACUUCAUUAAGGAAUUUUGAAUUAGAAGGUAAUGUUUUUUUGAUUGAUUGUUUUUUUGUUUUUACAGAUUUCUUAAGGAGAACUUUGUGUCUGUUUUUCCAUAGUCCUACUCCUGAAUCUUUGCUUUCUAGGACAUAGCCUUUCAGAGUCCAUCCAAGAAGCCAGUUUCUGGAGAUGAAUUAGUAGCUGUAGCUUGUUUAGUAGUUUGUAAGCAAAGCUGAAAACUGCACUUUCAAAGUAGGCAGUAUAUAUGGAAAGAAACAAAGGAUUACCAUGGUCCUGUAAUACAGGAGAAUUGUGAUUUUCUUUUUCUUCCUCUAAGGAGAUUUUGGACAAAGGGUAAGGAGAAUUGAAAUACUUUUAUUUCCAUUUUGAGUUCAU